rnacentral:lncRNA from 1 species
GCUGGCACUGCCGAAGCACCUACGCCACGUCAGGCACUUGACACAGCCCCCAUUUCAUUUAAUUAUCUCCACAAACCUGCACAGCAGGAACUCUCACUCCCAUUUCACGGAGGAGAUGAGGACACAGGCUCAGGAGAAGCCCGGAGCACAGCACGCCCUGCCGGAGGUCUUUCAGCGGCCCCAGCCCGGGACCUCCAGCCACACGGGCCUCCGAGCCUCGCCGGCCGCUCUCCCCUGAGAGUUGACAAGUGGGUCUUCCCUGACAUCUCUCUUCCUCCCCGCUUGCGCUUCUCGUACCUCCCUGGCUUCAGCCGAGCUGCCCCCUCCGCCUGGAAUACCCUUCCCACACUAUUCUGGCAGAAAGAACUGCUACGCAUCCUUUACUUGGUUCAGACUUCUGGCCUCCUGGAAAUCCUUCCCACCCCCACCCAUAGGUCACCAGCCUCUGCUGAGCUGAUUUAGGAUCAUAGGAUCUUAACAAAGUGUCGUUAUCUGAGUGAUCCUGUUUCAGGCCUGCCGCAGUCCCUUUUCACCUUGGACAGUCAUUUUUGACUUUAGGUCUGGUCCCCAACGUCUCCACCUGCUAUGGCUCCCCGUGGUCUGAGGCUCAUGACCCCACAACCCUACUUGAGUAGUUUGACUCUGCAGGAGAAAGCUGGAGGGGUAGGGUGAGGGGAGCCACAGCUGGGGCAAGUGUACACCUGGAGUGAGUUGGGGCUGAGCACUGCCCCUGGGUGCCCCCAUCACCCAGAAGGGCCUCUCCUGCUCAGCCUGACAGCUCUGGUUUAUCCACCACUGAAAGAACCAGCAAGCCCCUACAGGCCCUCCCGACAGCGCCUCCAGAAACAAACCUGGCCCAGCCAUGUGGUUACCCUGAUCUGAUCUGCCAUGAGAAAGGUCACAAACAGGGACUGGAUCUCAGCACAGAGGGCUGCCAGCAACAGUUCCCGAGCCCCCUCCCCCCAUGUUCCAGCAGGACAGCUGUCACAAAGUCCAGCUUUCUGCUGGGGAGGAGACAAGCAAGUCCCCAUGUGGCCAGCUAGACCCGCCUGUGAGCCUGUGAUUGUUCUGCCACAGGUGGUGAAACUGCUACUCAAAGACAUGGAAUAAUUUGCCAGCCUCUCAGGUGGCGCCAGGAUUUCUACCUCAGACCUCAGAGAUCCUGCUUCCUACUGCACUCUCCUGAUAGCUUCCUGGGAAGCUGGCUGGCACGGCACUUCAGAUUCAGGGACUGCCUGAUACUGUGAAGUCACAAACCCAGUUAACUGCAGAGCCAGAGCCUUUUUUUCUUUUUUUCGAGACAGUCUCUCUGUCGCCCAGGCUGGAGUGCAGUGGUGCCAUCUCGUCUCACUGCAACCUCUGCCUCCCAGGUUCAAGCAAUUCUUGUGCCUCAGCCUCCUGAGUAGCUGGGAUUACAGGCGCCCACCACCUGUUCGGCUAGUUUUUGUAAUUUCAGUAGAGACGGGGUUUCACCAUGUUGGUCAGGCUGGUCUUGAACUCCUGACCUCGGGUGAUCCACCUGCCUUGGCCUCCUGAAGUGUUGGGUUUACAGGCGUGAGCCAUGGUGCCCAGCAGAACCAGAGCUUUUCUUGACUCCCUUGUUUGGUUCUGGGCUCUUAGCUAAGCCCCAGGUAAGCCUGCCAGUUUCAGGGAAGGACUCCUGGAGAUGGCUGUAUCUGAAACAGAAUUCACCAGACAGGGUUUUAGACUUGAUUUACAGAGAACCCUUUAGGUGGUGAAUUGUUUUCACCUGUUAUUUCUAGUGCCUGCUAUUCAGCCACAUCCUCAGCAACUUGCAGCACCCAAACUGCCACAAAACAAGCAAGUAACUGUGCCCUGCUUCCCUAGCUCUAAUCGGAUGCUCCCACACCACUUGGCUGUUCAGUUCCUAGGUCCCCUGAGACCCAGUCCCAUCAGGGCUGGACUUGGCAGGCAGGAAUCCCCUGGCAUUCACUCAAGCUGGCAACAAAGGAGAAGCUGGCAUGAAACUUAAAUUCCACCUUGGCUCUCAGCCCUAAAUCCACCGUGCCUGUCUGGGAGUGUCAUGGCAUGCGUCUUGGAGCCAGAGAACAAAAGAUGGCAAGUGCUGCAGGCCCAGACAGGCAAGGACCACAGCCCAUAUAUCCUGCACCACUGUGCUGCCUUCCAACAAUUUUGUCUUCAAGAACAGCACCUAGACACGCAUUAGGAGGGAAAAUUACACUUCCACCAGCACAGGCAUGUUCGCCCCUUCCCAGCUGGUAAUUGAGUUUCGUCGUCAGAGCUAUCACCUAGAUCAGGUAAGAAAAUGGGUGAAAAGUACGCCAAGUGCCAUUACUGGUCAAUUUUACUUAAAACAGUUUUCUCAAACCUGGAGAAAGCAAACCAUGCACCACCUUGGCUCCUCAACUAGGCUUCCUAAACUACCAAAGAGGCUCUUUAAGCACCUCAACCUUGGGGGAAAACAAAGAAAACAAAUCCUCUUCUGCUCUGAACCUGGCCUAGGAGCCCUGCUCCUCUGGACCAGCCCCUGACCUGCUUUUGGGUGGGCUACUACUCUCCUACCCAGUGUAAGGUAUGUAAGAUGAAGGAGCGUGGGAGAGAGAGAGGGCCCAGGCCUAGUUUCUGCUAUUCCAUCUGGACCAUUCUAUUAUAGGACUCAAAGACAGAUACAGAGAGAACUUUGGAAUAAGGCCUGGGAUAAAAUUUUGGUGUUAUCACUAAAGAGCUGCUACUUAACCUUCUUUUGUUCUGUUUCAUCACCUGUAAAAUUGGGUACACCAUCUACCUCCAUGGGAUGCUGGGUUAUGGGAUAAUAUACUUAACAUACCUUAAAAAAAAAAAAAAGCAAGAUUCCCUUUGGCAUGCAUAUAGAAUGGGGGAGAAUACAAAUUAGUUUGGCCCCAGCAACCUGAACCUUCUUCUUCUAGCAUAACUCUGGGAUCAUGACCUCAGAAAAACUUUGCAUAUACCUUUCCAUAGACAAAUGUAGUAAACACAACUCAAACCCAAGGCUGAAAUGCUAUUGGCCGUGACUAAUCUGAGGUAUGCCUUGGAGAACUGUCUCCACAGUUCAGGCCUUUCUAGACCAGUCCUAAAAAAUCUCAAGCACACAAAGUAUAUUCUUAAAUAUGGUUUAAUACUCUUCUCCAUUUCUGUACAUCACAACACCAAGAUUUUGCUGCUUAGUAUCUCUC